rnacentral:rRNA from 1 species
UACGUAGGGUGCAAGCGUUGUCCGGAAUUAUUGGGCGUAAAGAGCUCGUAGGCGGUUUGUCGCGUCUGCUGUGAAAGACCCGGGGCUCAACUCCGGUUCUGCAGUGGGUACGGGCAGACUAGAGUGAUGUAGGGGAGACUGGAAUUCCUGGUGUAGCGGUGAAAUGCGCAGAUAUCAGGAGGAACACCGAUGGCGAAGGCAGGUCUCUGGGCAUUAACUGACGCUGAGGAGCGAAAGCAUGGGGAGCGAACAGG